rnacentral:rRNA from 1 species
CCUACGGGAGGCAGCAGUGGGGAAUUUUGGACAAUGGGCGCAAGCCUGAUCCAGCAAUGCCGCGUGAGUGAAGAAGGCCUUCGGGUUGUAAAGCUCUUUUGUCAGGGAAGAAACGGUUGGGGCUAAUAUCCUCAGCUAAUGACGGUACCUGAAGAAUAAGCACCGGCUAACUACGUGCCAGCAGCCGCGGUAAUACGUAGGGUGCAAGCGUUAAUCGGAAUUACUGGGCGUAAAGCGUGCGCAGGCGGUUUUGUAAGUCUGUCGUGAAAGCCCCGGGCUUAACCUGGGAAUUGCGAUGGAGACUGCAAGGCUUGAAUCUGGCAGAGGGGGGUAGAAUUCCACGUGUAGCAGUGAAAUGCGUAGAGAUGUGGAGGAACACCGAUGGCGAAGGCAGCCCCCUGGGUCAAGAUUGACGCUCAUGCACGAAAGCGUGGGGAGCAAACAGGAUUAGAUACCCUGGUAGUCCACGCCCUAAACGAUGUCUACUAGUUGUCGGGUCUUAAUUGACUUGGUAACGCAGCUAACGCGUGAAGUAGACCGCCUGGGGAGUACGGUCGCAAGAUUAAAACUUAAAUGAAUUGACGG